AGAGUUUGAUCAUGGCUCAGAACGAACGCUGGCGGCAGGCCUCAAACAUGCAAGUCUAGGGGGUGUAGCAAUACAUCACCGGCGGACGGGUGCGUAACGCGUGGGAAUAUACCUAUUGGUUCGGAACAACUGAGGGAAACUUCAGCUAAUACCGGAUAAGCCCUUACGGGGAAAGAUUUCUCGCCAAUAGAUUAGCCCGCGUCCGAUUAGCUAGUUGGUGGGGUAAAAGCCUACCAAGGCAACGAUCGGUAGCUGUUCUGAGAGGAAGAUCAGCCACACUGGGACUGAGACACGGCCCAGACUCCUACGGGAGGCAGCAGUUGGGAAUCUUGGACAAUGGGGGAAACCCUGAUCCAGCCAUGCCGCGUGAGUGAUGAAGGCCUUCGGGUUGUAAAACUCUUUCGACGGGGACGAUAAUGACGGUACCCGUAGAAGAAGCUCCGGCUAACUUCGUGCCAGCAGCCGCGGUAAUACGAAGGGGGCUAGCGUUGUUCGGAAUUACUGGGCGUAAAGCGCGCGCAGGCGGUCUUCCAAGUCAGUGGUGAAAGCCCGGAGCUCAACUCCGGAAUUGCCAUUGAAACUGUGAGACUGGAGUACGAGAGAGGUGAGUGGAAUUCCCAGUGUAGAGGUGAAAUUCGUAGAUAUUGGGAAGAACACCGGUGGCGAAGGCGGCUCACUGGCUCGUAACUGACGCUCAGGCGCGACAGCGUGGGGAUCAAACAGGAUUAGAUACCCUGGUAGUCCACGCCGUAAACGAUGAUUGCUAGCCGUUGGGCAGCUUGCUGUUCAGUGGCGCAGCUAACGCAUUAAGCAAUCCGCCUGGGGAGUACGGCCGCAAGGUUGAAACUCAAAGGAAUUGACGGGGGCCCGCACAAGCGGUGGAGCAUGUGGUUUAAUUCGACGCAACGCGCAGAACCUUACCAGGGUUUGACAUCCUGAGACGCUCUUAUAGGGGUUUUCCCGCAGGACUCAGAGACAGGUGCUGCAUGGCUGUCGUCAGCUCGUGUCGUGA
rnacentral:rRNA from 1 species